CCUACGGGAGGCAGCAGUGAGGAAUAUUGGUCAAUGGACGAGAGUCUGAACCAGCCAAGUAGCGUGAAGGAUGACUGCCCUAGGGGUUGUAAACUUCUUUUAUAUGGGAAUAAAAUGUUCCACGUGUGGGAUUUUGUAUGUACCAUAUGAAUAAGGAUCGGCUAACUCCGUGCCAGCAGCCGCGGUAAUACGGAGGAUCCGAGCGUUAUCCGGAUUUAUUGGGUUUAAAGGGAGCGUAGGUGGAUUGUUAAGUCAGUUGUGAAAGUUUGCGGCUCAACCGUAAAAUUGCAGUUGAAACUGGCAGUCUUGAGUACAGUAGAGGUAGGCGGAAUUCGUGGUGUAGCGGUGAAAUGCGUAGAUAUCACGAAGAACUCCGAUUGCGAAGGCAGUUCACUGGACUGCAACUGACACUGAGGCUCGAAAGUGUGGGUAUCAAACAGGAUUAGAUACCCCAGUAGUC
rnacentral:rRNA from 1 species